GUGUGUGUGUGUGUGUGUGUGUGUGUGUGUGUGUGUGUGUGUAUAAUUGUUAAAGAGGAUAACAAACAUUAAGGUAAGGCAAACAUCUCAAGUCAUAUACAAUGUUAUUAUUGGAAAAAAUUCAAAGUCUUACAGCUGUUUCUGGGAUAUCCCUGAGUAUGGGAUAUUUUGACAUUAGAG